rnacentral:rRNA from 1 species
CCUACGGGAGGCAGCAGUGAGGAAUAUUGGUCAAUGGACGAGAGUCUGAACCAGCCAAGUAGCGUGAAGGAUGACUGCCCUAUGGGUUGUAAACUUCUUUUAUAUGGGAAUAAAAUGUUCCACGUGUGGGAUUUUGUAUGUACCAUAUGAAUAAGGAUCGGCUAACUCCGUGCCAGCAGCCGCGGUAAUACGGGGGAUCCGAGCGUUAUCCGGAUUUAUUGGGUUUAAAGGGAGCGUAGGUGGAUUGUUAAGUCAGUUGUGAAAGUUUGCGGCUCAACCGUAAAAUUGCAGUUGAAACUGGCAGUCUUGAGUACAGUAGAGGUGGGCGGAAUUCGUGGUGUAGCGGUGAAAUGCUUAGAUAUCACGAAGAACUCCGAUUGCGAAGGCAGUUCACUGGACUGCAACUGACACUGAGGCUCGAAAGUGUGGGUAUCAAACAGGAUUAGAUACCCGAGUAGUC